rnacentral:rRNA from 1 species
AUUGAACGCUGGCGGCAGGCUUAACACAUGCAAGUCGAGCGGGGGAAGGUAGCUUGCUACCGGACCUAGCGGCGGACGGGUGAGUAAUGCUUAGGAAUCUGCCUAUUAGUGGGGGACAACAUCUCGAAAGGGAUGCUAAUACCGCAUACGUCCUACGGGAGAAAGCAGGGGAUCUUCGGACCUUGCGCUAAUAGAUGAGCCUAAGUCGGAUUAGCUAGUUGGUGGGGUAAAGGCCUACCAAGGCGACGAUCUGUAGCGGGUCUGAGAGGAUGAUCCGCCACACUGGGACGGAGACACGGCCCAGACUCCUACGGGAGGGAGCAGUGGGGAAUAUUGGACAAUGGGGGGAACCCUGAUCCAGCCAUGCCGCGUGUGUGAAGAAGGCCUUAUGGUUGUAAAGCACUUUAAGCGAGGAGGAGGCUACUUUAGUUAAUACCUAGGGAUAGUGGACGUUACUCGCAGAAUAAGCACCGGCUAACUCUGUG